UUAUCUUCAGAGACAAAGUUUGUCUCAACGUCAUUAUCUGUUUUCUUAAAGGACGCCUGAUAGAGCUUCACUAGAUGCUUUGGCAUACCUUAGAUACGCAACCAGUGCCCCUUUCCUCCACAGCGAUAACAUUUAUUUUCAUUGUUCGUCCUUGGCACUGCUUCAGUAGCUUCACCCUUCUUUUUACACUUCUGGUGUUGAGGGUCAUUGUUUAGUACAAGAUGAUCACCCUGAUUAAACUAUCAACCACAACCACGACCUCAAAUGGGGCCAAGGCUUCUUUCACACCUGGUUUGAUGAAAAUGUGCGGCAUUCACUUCAGGGAAUGGAGCAAUACCGGAAGGUCGACUUUCAUGAUUUCUCAUUAAAAGAUCAUUAUGUUGUUCAACUACAAGAAGAUGAGAAAUCAAUUCAGA
rnacentral:lncRNA from 1 species